UACGGGGGGUGCGAGCGUUGUCCGGAAUCACUGGGCGUAAAGGGCGCGUAGGCGGGCGAUCCAGUCGGGGGUGAAAGUUUUCGGCUCAACCGGAAAAGGGCCUUUGAUACGGGUCGUCUCGAGGGAGGUAGGGGCAUGCGGAACUUCCGGUGGAGCGGUGAAAUGCGUAGAUAUCGGAAGGAACGCCGGUGGCGAAAGCGGCGUGCUGGACCUCUUCGUGACGCUGAGGCGCGAAAGCCAGGGGAGCGAACGGG
rnacentral:rRNA from 1 species